rnacentral:rRNA from 1 species
GACGUAGGGCGCGAGCGUUGUCCGGAUUUAUUGGGCGUAAAGAGCUCGUAGGCGGUUGGGUAAGUCGGGUGUGAAAACUCCAGGCUCAACUUGGAGAUGCCACCCGAUACUGCUCUGACUUGAGUUCGGUAGGGGAGUGGGGAAUUCCUGGUGUAGCGGUGAAAUGCGUAGAUAUCGGGAGGAACACCAGUGGCGAAGGCGACUACCUGGCCUGUUCUUGACGCUGAGGCGCGAAAGCUAGGGGAGCAAACGGGG